UACGUAGGGUCCGAGCGUUGUCCGGAAUUACUGGGCGUAAAGAGCUCGUAGGUGGUUUGUCGCGUUGUUCGUGAAAACUCACAGCUCAACUGUGGGCGUGCGGGCGAUACGGGCAGACUAGAGUACUGCAGGGGACACUGGAAUUCCUGGUGUAGCGGUGGAAUGCGCAGAUAUCAGGAGGAACACCGGUGGCGAAGGCGGUUCUCUGGGCCUUACCUGACGCUGAGGAGCGAAAGCGUGGGGAGCAAACAGG
rnacentral:rRNA from 1 species